rnacentral:rRNA from 1 species
GAUCAUGGCUCAGGAUAAACGCUGGCGGCGCACAUAAGACAUGCAAGUCGAACGAACUUAAUCCUUAGUUACUAUAGGAAGCGGUUAGUGGCGGACUGGUGAGUAACGCGUAAACAAUCUGCCUAUCAGAGGGGAACAACAGUGAGAAAUCACUGCUAAUACCGCAUAUGCUGUGAGUACGGCAUCGUACAAACAGGAAAGGAGCAAUCCGCUGAUAGAUGAGUUUGCGUCUGAUUAACUUGUUGGUGAGGUAACGGCCCACCAAGGUGAUGAUCAGUAGCCGGACUGAGAGGUUAAACGGCCACAUUGGGACUGAGAUACGGCCCAGACUCCUACGGGAGGCAGCAGUCGGGAAUAUUGCGCAAUGGAGGAAACUCUGACGCAGUGACGCCGCGUGCAGGAUGAAGGUUUUCGGAUUGUAAACUGCUUUAGAUAGGGAAGAAACAAAUGACGGUACCUAUAGAACAAGCUCCGGCUAACUACGUGCCAGCCGCGGC